UCUUUCUCUGCCCGGCCACUCCUUCUGUUUCUCCCACGCCACACACUCUCCCACCUAAACCUAAACCUAGGUCACCUGCCGCCGCCGCCUGACUUGCCAGCCGAUUUGCUCGCGUUGUUGCCGUCUCUUCCACCACCAGCGGUGCCUCCCAAAUCCUCCUUCUAGCAUGUGGUGCUUCCCCAUGUUCCAACCCCAAGGUGAUGCCUUAACAGAAGGCAUGACAGGAGAAGAGGAAGGGAGAUCCACCGCGAGCGAAGAAGGCCGGGCGGCGACCAUGGCACGCCCAGAUCGGCCAGCGCCGUCGACGUCGAGCUCCUCUGCUCCCAGUGCCAGAUCCGCCUCGGGCUCCAUCUCCACAACCACGCACCUACAGCCGCCAUGGAAGGUGCUCUGCGUGCUUGCUUCUUCCCUUCCUGGGACGCCGCUGCUCCGACGCCAUGGACAAAUAGAGGAGAAGAGGACAGGUCCUGGAAUCCAAAUUUCCUUCAUGAACAAAUGAAGCACAAUCCUUUGCAGUAGCUGAAGUUUCAGACUGGAUAAAUUACAUUGCAGCACCUGAAGUUUCAGACUGAAUAUAUUAUGUUGGCCACCUGUAUUUGGAAAAUUUACCCGAUGUAGCAUGUACAUUUAGUUUCCUAGAAGGCCAUUGCACUUGUUGUUAAUUAGCAACUCACAUUACAAAAGUGCCAGUGGAAAUUUUUGAAAUUAGUAGUGCAGUUUGCAUCUUUGUAACAGAACAUGUUAUACGAUCAAUAUUAACCAUAAAAAUUGGACUCUGUAUGUAGUGUAUGGGAAGUUUUAAGUGAUUAUGCGAAUAUGCUUUUCCUUCAGUUGUGCAUCAGAUUUCACAAUCAAUAUUUAUUUAUUUUAGAGACUGGAAAAUGAAGAGAGAGAUUAUGGGGUGUGGUGGCCAUUAGUUGCUUCCGCUGUAUGUUGACCUACUUGACUUUCCUUUCGUUAUACAUGCAGCCAAAAUUUAUGGGGGGUGUUAUAUAGGCUGGCAACUGAUUAUAUUGUAGACCAUCUGCUCGCAGCUUGUCUAGGAUUGUUGUUAUUGCUUCAGGGUUCAUAUGAAACAUAUUUCACUUUUGAUAAUUUGGACAUGUUAUUUCCUAAGUGCUAGCUCCAAAACAGGACAUUGAAAUCUUAGUUUCACAUUGGAUGUUUGGAACAUCAAUUGAGUAUCCUUAGUAAUAAACAGAAACCAUAUUCUCAAUAAACUGAUAUUUAUUGUUGAACGUGCCUUUUUCUUUUGAAAUGAUAAUUAUUACUUAGCAUGUGAUGUUGCUUAGUAAUAAACUAAACCAUAUUUUAGUGUUUUCAUUUUCCUCAAUUACCAAGUUUAACAUCCACCUUUUUUAUCUAAUACACUCCAUUAUACUCAAAUAUGUUCUUUACAACCCACAUGUGUUGCAUUUUUUCUGCUAACAGGAGAGUACCACAUUUGUGUAGACUUUCAUUUCUUACAUUCGUUACUUUCAGCCACUGAACAAACCAAGGUAUAGAAAUACAAACACGGAAAAGGCUACCUGUUGGCUGUGGGUGCUGAGCUGACGAACAGUGUGGAAGAAGAAAGUGUGAUCUUGGCAGCGGCCCAUGAAGCUUUUUUUUUCUUUGCAUGUUGAUCACUACUACACUGUUCAGGUUCUUAAUCAAGGUACUGGCACAUAUAUUCACCAGAAACUGAUUGACUAUGAUUGUGGGUCGCAAGCAAAGGAAUGCUAACCGUGGUGGUGGUGGUGAUUGAAGAGCCCUUAAUCAAUUCGGCCCUGUAGAUUGGAGCAGCAACCUGGGAUAUUGCACCAUCUAGCUCCGUCUAUCUGAUUCAUCUUCUUUUCUUGGUCUAUCAAUUGGAGGAAUCUACAGAUUCGUGAAUAUGUUCCUGACCUCGCACAAUCGAUAGUCGGUCUGAUCUCGUCCUCCAAUGACCAAGAGUUCCGAGACGAAUGUGUGGUGCCCCUCGCGUAACAUAGGGACAUGGCAGAAAGUAGCAAGUCCACAAGUUGAUCUAAGAUGUUCCGGUGAUCGCUUUUGUUCAUAACAUGGUAGAUACAUUUUGUUCAUAUGGAAGUUGAUGCCGGCUUGGUGAUUGAAGGAUUGGUCUCUUUCAUAAUACUCCCUCUGUACCUAAAUACUUGUAGUUGGGGGAAACUUGACACGUCUUGUAUGUCGACUUAUGUAUUACCUUCAUGGUUGUAGCAAACUUGAGUGAAGAUAACAAAUGUUCAAUAUAUGUUGAAUAAAUGUACUAGUGAAUGGUGUCUUGUGAUGAAUAGAAGAGUGCAAUUAUUUGUAUAUGUAUUGUGCACCGAACAUGAGUUGAAUACUACAAAUGUAAUUUUAUUGAAAAUAUG
rnacentral:rRNA from 1 species